CCUACGGGUGGCAGCAGUGAGGAAUAUUGGUCAAUGGCCGUAAGGCUGAACCAGCCAAGUCGCGUGAAGGAAGAAGGAUCUAUGGUUUGUAAACUUCUUUUAUAGGGGAAUAAAGGUAUCCACGUGUGGAUAUUUUCAUGUACCCUAUGAAUAAGCCUUGGCCUACUCCGUGCCAGCCGCCGCGGUAAUUCGGAGGAUUCGAGCGUUAUUCGGAUUUAUUGGGGUUAAAGGGUGCGUAGGUUGUUUUUUAAGUCAGCGGUGAAAGUUUGUGGCUCAACCAUAAAAUUGCCGUUGAAACUGGAAGACUUGAGUGUGUUUGAGGUAGGCGGAAUGCGUGGUGUAGCGGUGAAAUGCAUAGAUAUCACGCAGAACUCCGAUUGCGAAGGCAGCUUACUAAGCCAUAACUGACACUGAAGCACGAAAGCGUGGGGAUCAAACAGGAUUAGAUACCCGAGUAGUC
rnacentral:rRNA from 1 species